rnacentral:rRNA from 1 species
UAAAGCGUGCGCAGGCGGUUUGUAAGUCUGUCGUGAAAUCCCCGGGCUCAACCUGGGAAUGGCGAUGGAGACUGCAAGGCUAGAGUUUGGCAGAGGGGGGUAGAAUUCCACGUGUAGCAGUGAAAUGCGUAGAUAUGUGGAGGAACACCGAUGGCGAAGGCAGCCCCCUGGGUCAAAACUGACGCUCAUGCACGAAAGCGUGGGGAGCAAACAGGAUUAGAUACCCUUGU